rnacentral:rRNA from 1 species
UACGGAGGGAGCUAGCGUUGUUCGGAAUUACUGGGCGUAAAGCGCACGUAGGCGGCUUUCUAAGUCAGGGGUGAAAUCCCGGGGCUCAACCCCGGAACUGCCCUUGAGACUGGAUGGCUAGAAUCCUGGAGAGGCGAGUGGAAUUCCGAGUGUAGAGGUGAAAUUCGUAGAUAUUCGGAAGAACACCAGUGGCGAAGGCGACUCGCUGGACAGGUAUUGACGCUGAGGUGCGAAAGCGUGGGGAGCAAACAGG